GGUCCUGUGAGCUGUAGGUGAUAGGGCUGAGACUGCUCCAUUAGAAUUACAGUGCUCUGAACUGCGGGGUGCAGUUAAGAGGGGACAGAGGUGGAGCAGAGGCCCACCCACUUUCUGGGGAUUGGCCCCANAACCCCUUUUUUAUGAAGCCUCAAUAACCCCUGGCAGGUCCUGUGAGCUGUAGGUGAUGGGGCUGAGGCUGCUCCAUUAGAAUUACAGUGCUCUGAACUGCGGGGUGUAGUUAAGAGGGGACAGAGGUGGAGCAGAGGCCCACUUUCUGGGGAUUGGCCCUGCAGCUCAUUCCAUGAGGCAACCUCCAGCCCCAGACAGAACAACAGGAGAAGAACUCCAGGAAGGAAUCCUCAUUGAGAUUUUCUCCCAUAGAGACCCAUCUCAUGGGUUUUACUGCAGGAGAGGAUUGAGGUGUGAAGAAUUUUAUGGCAGUCCCUAAGACAUUACCAGGAUGGGAAAGCUUUUGCCCAUCCCCUGGAUUUUGACAUUCUAAGCUCCCCUUGGGCAUUUCAUCUCUGACUACUGGAACAUCAACUUGUUGGAGGCUCUGAAAAUCCAAUAAAUCAAUAAUUACAUUAAUAGAUUAUUUUUUUCUUUAGAAAAAAUAAAAACCUGUUAAAGUAAAAAAUUCAUAAUAAGGGCCCAAUUUUGUGGAAGCUUUUGCAUGUCAGUAGUCCCAUUCAUGUAAAUUAGUCAGUUGAACUGCAGGUGAGUAAAGUUACCCACACGUGUGAAUAUUAGCAGGAUUGGGAACCGGGCAAGAUCCUCAGCUGGUAUAAAGCAGUUUAGCUUCUUUAGAGUCACAUACACUAAUUACUAAGGUGAUUAAGAAGAAAGCUAGAAGGAAAAACAUUUACCCCAACUCACUCCUCCUUUCUGCUUAAAGUCUAGUUUUACAGUGGUGUAACUGAGAGUUCAGAAUCUGACCAGAGGUGCUGAGCUGCAAUCCCUGUACAGCUUGUCUACAUUACCAAAUGGACUACUGCGGACACUGGGCGCAGCUAAAUCUGUGCACGAUUCUUCAAAGGCCCCCUGCUUCACUUCUGCUACAAGGCAUCACUGAGGACUCUUCCCACACUGCAGAGAAACCUGCAGCAUCCUUCCUGCCUGCAGAGGAGAGUGGCAGCAGGAAGCCACAGGGGCUUUGGGAUGAAAGGGAAGUUAUGGAUUCUUUAAGGAACUCCCUGCUCUACAUACGUGUUUUCUGAUCUGUCAUACUAAUCUUUACAGCAGUAGUUCUCAAACUUUUUUUUUUGCAAACCACUUGAAAAUUGCUGAGGGUCUCAGCGGACCACUUAAUGAUCUUUCCAAAUGUUGUUUGUACCAUUAGCUAACUAUUGUAAAGCCUUUUGGAUAAAGCACUAUAAAAAAUAAAACCUUAAUAAUAGAAAAAGUUUUUUUGUUC
rnacentral:lncRNA from 1 species